GCCUCGUCCUUUUCCCUCUGCUCCCCAGAGACACAUCUCAUGUCCUUGUCCUUGCUGCAUGCUUGCAGCUGCUUUGUGUCCCACAGACUUGCUUUGCACCUUUCAGAAACUUUGCCACUUUUGCUGCAUAUACAAAAUAGCCUUCCUCCUCAGCACAAGUGCAUUUAAUCUCCCUGAACCCUUAAAAGAAAAUAUUCUUUUAAUUUUACUCCUGUGGUAAUCUCUUGUCUUCCCUCACAGUUACUUUUUGGCUGGUGUUCGCUUCUGAGAUCUUUUAUAAUGUUUCAGUGUUCUUUGAGCAGUGGCACUUGCAUGCUGCAACCAGACAUGGAUGAUGAAAGCCAUAUGCAAAGAAAUGGUCCUCCUCUGAAGAGCUCACAGACUGCAGGUGGUGGUGGGGAAAAGGUGGAUUCCCAAAGCAGCUACUUGGCAUUAUUGGCAGCAGCAAUCUGAAAAGAAAGACCCAACCAGACUGCAGCUUUGUUUGGCAUCAAACUUGCCUCCUGAGAUGAUCACACAAGAAGUCUUUUAUCACUUUGGCAGCUGAGAGCCAGAGCUGCUUGUGGUGGAAGUCGCUGGGACCGUAACCCCGAGUUGUCGUGGGAUGAGAGUCAAGCUUGGCCUGUCAGCAAGGCGAGUUGCAGCAGUCUGAGCCCCUGCCAGGACACGUCAGUACUUCUGAGCGUGCUUCCCCCGGUGCUGCUCUCAUUAAGGAAAAGGCUAGAAGCUCUUUGAGGAAGAGACUGGCUGUGUGGUUUGUGCCUGUUUAUAUUGUCCCACAGCUGGAGCUUCUGGACAUGUCCACUGCCAAAAACAUCCCCUCCACUGUGGGUGAUGGAUGAUGCAAAAGGAUGGCAUAAUAUAGCAAUGAAGAGCUGAAAAUAGGUGGUUUGAAUUAAGUAAAACAUAUGGGAUUUUCUCCAG
rnacentral:lncRNA from 1 species